rnacentral:rRNA from 1 species
AUGCAGGAAGCUCGUGAACUAUCAGUGUGCCAGACGACGGAGGAGCUCAAGACAUGGAAUCUGAACGAACACCAGCAGAAGUUAGUCGACGCCAGUGGGCUCGGCAAUCUGAAAUACAUGGGAGAUCUGGCCAUCAACCACACUGUGCUCAGGGUAUUUUGCGAGCUUUGGAACAAAGAAACGAACACAGCAAGGUUCCAUGACUUUGAAAUGGGACCAUCACUCAGGGACACUGCCUACAUAUUGGGAAUUCCGAUCAUAGGCCGUGCGGUGACCACCGGGGCUGUGCUCAACAUGUCGUCAGAAGAGCUGCUCCUCCAGUACCUUGGCCGAGUUCCUGGUUCAAAGGACUGCAGGGGUAGCCGUGUGAAGCUCUCUUGGUUACACUCAAAGUUUAGUCAGCUCUCGGAGCAUCCUACUGAUAAAGAAAUUGCGUGCAAAACAAGAGCAUAUCUCUUAUACUUGAUUGGAGCAACUCUGUUUUCAGACAAAGACAAGGGCUAUGUCUCUCCAAAGUACUUACCACUCUUGUCGGACUUUGACAAGGUAUGAGAGUACGCAUGGGGCACUGCUGCUCUUGCUCAUCUUUACAAGGCUCUCUCUACGUUAGCGUCUUCUCACUCUAUUGCCAGAAAAAGAUUCGGCAGCGCCACUCUGCUCAUGGGGUGGAUAUAUGAAUAUAUUCCAGCGAUGCGCCCUGAUAUGGAGGAUGAUCCAGCACUUGUGGUCCCAUGAGUGUGCAGGUGGGCCGGGCACGCAAUCUCCCAACCAACAAAGGAAGCUUCAGAUAUCAGAAAAGCUUUCGGUCAGCUUCGAGUUUCAGAUGUGAACUGGGAACCUUACAAGGGCAUGGAUCCUGCAUCUAUUCCCAACAUCUGCUGGGCACCCGAUAGCGUCUGCUUCUCCAGAACAUGGCUGAUCAACUUUAACGUGAGGGAAGUAUAUCUCCCAGAUCGAUUUGCUCGUCAGUUUGGUCAAGAACAGCAUCCGGUCGGCGAUGUUGGCGGGUUCCAGCGACAUCAGUGGAACGCGUCAGUGGAUUGGAGCCUCGAGUAUGCAUCAGAGAUCAAACAUUUCGAGCAGUUGAUCAAUGCUACUCGUCCUGAUCAUACAGCAGUUCCUGCCACUUGUAAAACGAUUGAGGAUGUUUUUACACCAGCGAGCACGGCACGAGAAUUUCCUGGUCUCAAAUUGCUUGCAGUGGUGAAGAGCAUCAAGAAGGAGCUCCCAACCAUCACGCGAUUUCUCGAGCAACGGCCACUUCCCGUCGAGGUAGCCACGUCGUUUGCUCGGGUCCAUCAACUACUGGAGGAUUCUCACUUGAAGGAAGGAAAUGCCGCAGUGGAUGCUGGGGGCGAGGGGGGACCUCUGAGCUGA